rnacentral:rRNA from 1 species
UAGGGAAUCUUCGGCAAUGGACGAAAGUCUGACCGAGCAACGCCGCGUGAGUGAAGAAGGUUUUCGGAUCGUAAAACUCUGUUGUUAGAGAAGAACAAGGACGUUAGUAACUGAACGUCCCCUGACGGUAUCUAACCAGAAAGCCACGGCUAACUACGUGCCAGCAGCCGCGGUAAUACGUAGGUGGCAAGCGUUGUCCGGAUUUAUUGGGCGUAAAGCGAGCGCAGGCGGUUUCUUAAGUCGGAUGUGAAAGCCCCCGGCUCAACCGGGGAGGGUCAUUGGAAACUGGGAGAAUUGAGUGCAGAAGAGGAGAGUGGAAUUCCAUGUGUAGCGGUGAAAUGCGUAGAUAUAUGGAGGAACACCAGUGGCGAAGGAGGCUCUCUGGUCUGUAACUGACGAUGAGGCUCGAAAGCGUGGGGAGCAAACAGG